rnacentral:rRNA from 1 species
AGCGUAAUCCCUUGCCGGGUAAGUUCCGGCCCGCAUGAAUGGCUUAACGACUUGAAGACUGUCUCAACGAGGCGCCCGGUGAAAAUGCAAUGGCAGUGAAGAUGC